rnacentral:tRNA from 1 species
GCCCGAAGGCAGAGUGGUUAAUGCGCGGGCCUUGAGAGCCCGUGACCCUUCGGGGUCUCGUGGGUUCGAAUCCUACCCCCGGCG